CCGACAGCAUCCUGUUUCUCUCCGCCAAAGACAAAACCAGAGGUGAAAAACUAAUAUUACUAAUAUAUUAAUUUUCUUACCCACUUUGCUUAAAUGGAAAAAGGUCAGGAAUUUCUUUUUUUUCAUGCCAUGAACAUGAAGGGUAAAUCUAAGCCCAUGCAUACGAGAGAUAUAAUUUUAAUUCUGUUGAGAUUGCCAUCUCAAGUUCUAACAUGAAGUGAGAUAGGCUUAAAAGCUAGUGCAUUGUUUUGCCACUGCAAGAAAAAGUACGAAAACUAAACUAAAGUCUCCAUAAGCCAUUCUGACCUGCACUCUGUAUUUUCCAUCUCCCUCUGUCUCUCACUUGUACUAUUCUCACUUAAGUUGAUUUUGUGCAUAACAUGUCUCAUGGGUUAGAAGAUUUACUCGCCAUGGACGGCAACCCUGCCUGUGCCUCUAGGAAGCCACAAGCUUCCAUGUAUUCUUGUCAUGAGCCAAGUUGAGAGCCUAUAUAAAUCCUCCAGCCAAUAUACAUGUAGAUUUAAUUAUAUUGUAAUCUUCUAGCUAGAAAAAUUGACUAGAUAGAAAGUAAACUAAAAAGCUGACUUAUUAAGUGACGAAACAUUGAAAUUACAAGUAGCCACUUGCUGAGUUGUAGUCAACAAUAUAUGCUGAAAUGUAUUUACCUAUAAAAUCAGCUCAAGUUUGUUGCAGUAUCCCUUUCAGCCAUCCUGUGCCUUCCCAUGCCGACAAACCUCCUUGCUUCUCCUUUGCUCAAGACUUUUUUAGCAAUCAUGCUGGCCCUAGCUCAUAGCCCUACAGAACUUCAAAAUUUCAUCCUUGAUAUCAAAAGUUUGAAGGUAAGAGUCACGAGAAUCGGAAGUAAUGGUUGAGAGGCAAGUUACUGAGGAUAUGAGAUAUAAGCUUAUGAAAAAAUAAUAUACAAAUUGAUCAACAGAGGAGCAGAGAGAGAGAGCAAAACGAUGGGAAAGAAGGCCCAGUAGUCCUCACUUUUCUUUGACCGUGACAAUUGAGAACCAAAGCACUGGAUGGACUAUUCUUCAUGGUGGGGCUCAGCAUUUUCAUAAACAGACAAUCCAGGUGAUACGCCAGAUUACAUCAGUGAGUAGUGCUGUUCUCAGAACAAAGAUUCAUCCUUGGGUUCUUCCAAGGUUGACCCAGCAGGUCCUCCAAGGCCAAUG
rnacentral:lncRNA from 1 species